UCUAUUAGAUGAUAAUCAACAAUGUUAAUAUAAAGUGAAAACAAAGAACAAUUAAAUCUUUUCUGUGUCUGAGCUAUAUGAAUUUUUUUUACUAGUUACAGUUGCUGAUGGCCAAAUAUUGCUAUGUAACAUGUCUAGCAAGCUUCAGUAUAGGGAGGCGAAGACCCUGUCCAUCAUGACUUGUGUUUAUUACCCUAGCUUCAGACAUAGGAACCUUCUGCAGCUUGGAGUGGACUUGAGGUGUAGACAGUACUUAGCCAAACAGAUUGGACUUCAUCAGGUUAUGUUCUGUUUGACAUAGUAGCACAAGGGGUGCUGUGGUGAGACUGAAUGUCACAAACCAAAUUGGAUUGAGCCUGACUCAAUGGGCAGAGUAAGCCAGGGUCUGUUUGGACUGCUUGAGCAGCUUAAUUCUGUAGGAUGCUUAGUCUCCUCCAUGCCUCAAAGGCAUCAUGAAGGAAAGCACGAUCAUAUUUUGACUGGUUUUUUAACAAGUGGGCAAUAGAGCGGAGAAGACAACUAUAAAGGAAAUGGGAAAUAAUGAACAGGGUGGUGACUUUCUAUAGAUGCUCUUGGAAAAGAGGCUAAGUAAAUAAUGUUUGAUGCAACACAGAAGAGGAAACUAGCAGAAUGCUUCA